ACCAAAUCCUCCGAGCCGCUUGACCUAAGGCGAGAGCUAUGGUCUUUCGGCCGGGGUGGUUCCGGAAACGGGGCCGCCUCCCAUAGUGAAAAGGAGAAAAUUAUG
rnacentral:ncRNA from 1 species